CCCUUAGAUGUUCUGGGCCGCACGCGCGCUACACUGAUGCAUUCAACAAGCCUAGCCUUGACCGAGAGGUCCGGGUAAUCUUUGAAACUGCAUCGUGAUGGGGCUAGAUUAUUGCAAUUAUUAAUCUUCAACGAGGAAUGCCUAGUAAGCGUGAUUCAUCAAAUCGCGUUGAUUACGUCCCUGCCCUUUGUACACACCGCCCGUCGCUCCUACCGAUUGAAUGUGUUGGUGAGGAGCUCGGAUUGGCAGCAGUUGGUGGUUCACCACCGGCUAUUGCUGAGAAGUCCUCCAAACCGCCCCAUUUAGAGGAAGGAGAAGUCGUAACA
rnacentral:rRNA from 1 species